GGCGAGCUCUCCACGUCAGCAUACCGGUCGUCAGAUCUCAUAUGUGUAGUCGUGAUGCUGGUCGCCUGCCCAUUCCUGUGCCUUCGAGGCAGGCCUGCACGUCACGUCACGCCCUGCCCUACCUUGCCUCCCUCUCGCUACCUCGCCUCUCGCCGCCAGCGGCCCGACGCGGCCGAGACGUGGUCGUCGUUGUACUCGACGGAGUAGCAGCGGGCGUCGGGGCCCCGCCCCUCGCGCUCCCACUAUCUUGCCGCCGGCGCUGACCUCAUUAGCGGUCGGAGAGAAGCAUCGGUGGGUGAAAUUUUCAGGAUAACACACCCUUAUCUUUUUGGUGGCAGCUGCCAUUUAUUUGAGAUACUCUGCUGAAGAUAUGACUAAGGACUACGAUGCAGAUGUGCCGCGGUGGUCGGUGAUUCCAUCCCUCUAUGGUGAGCGCGAGCCAUCGCUAAAUAUCGUUGAUAGUACUACAACUUGUCCAGUGAUGACAUUGGUGUGACUUGGGCCAAAGUCGGUCAAAGAAAAACCUGAAGCCUUGCCCCACCCUUAGACAAGGGUGUCGUAACCCGUAUCGUUGUCCGUGUGAGAGUAGACCGGCGGGCCGGGAUCACUUUUCAUGUGUUUUGGUCUGUAGACAAGUGGGGAUUUUUUUUAACCUCGGCCUGAAAUUCGCUACCACCAGGAGUCAAAUUCUUCUAUCUAAAAUAAAAGAAUUAGGCAUCCGUUCGCAUUGUCUGAUGAAUCUAAAGGUAGAACCUUUUCUUUGGCAUGACCUGAUCUCUUAUCCCAGUUGCUCUUGCGAUUUGGUUCACUUCAUUUAUUUUCUGUGUUACAGCUAGGGAUGAAAGUUAUAUUUAUUUUGGGUUAUUGGGUCGACCCAAAAUUUUGAUAAAAUAAACUAGAAUGGCAUUAUGCGUAAUUAAUUUAGGACGAGAAAUGAACGAAGAUGGCAUGCCAUUGUAAUUAUUUAGUUGGCCCAUAAAAUACCAUUGGGUACCCACUUACAUUCCUAGUUACAGCUAAUCUGCAAGUUUGAUCUUGCGGUAAUGCACUAUUUGUCAAGCUGCAAGUCGAUGUUAUCCCUUUCUACCGCUAUAACAAAAUAAGAUCGACAGGUACCUCCUAAAUCCUAAUACACUAGCAAAAUCAUAUCAUCUCAACCCUUGCCAGGAACAAGUGAAUUUCCUCUUUAAUUAAUAAUAUUGCCUUUUUAUGCAGGAGGGUGGACACCACAACAUAUUGCCAUGCAGAAUAGAAAUAGUGAAAGAGCAUUUAGGUCCUAGUGGGUUUUGGAGCAUUGAUUGACAACACGAUUAAAGGACUAACUUGUUUGCAUGAGAUUAUGAACAGAUAUUUAAUUAUGAAAUGUGAAUUAAAA